CCAGACUCCUACGGGAGGCAGCAGUGGGGAAUAUUGCACAAUGGGGGAAACCCUGAUGCAGCGACGCCGCGUGAAGGAUGAAGUAUUUCGGUAUGUAAACUUCUAUCAGCAGGGAAGAAAAUGACGGUACCUGACUAAGAAGCCCCGGCUAACUACGUGCCAGCAGCCGCGGUAAUACGUAUGGUGCAAGCGUUAUCCGGAUUUACUGGGUGUAAAGGGAGCGUAGACGGCCAGACAAGUCAGAAGUGAAAGCCCAGGGCUCAACCCUGGGACUGCUUUUGAAACUGCCGGGCUGGAGUGCAGGAGAGGUAAGCGGAAUUCCUAGUGUAGCGGUGAAAUGCGUAGAUAUUAGGAGGAACACCAGUGGCGAAGGCGGCUUACUGGACUGUAACUGACGUUGAGGCUCGAAAGCGUGGGGAGCAAACAGGAUUAGAUACCCCGGUAG
rnacentral:rRNA from 1 species